rnacentral:sRNA from 1 species
AAAAAAACAGCAAGAAUAGAUGUUGCGCAGCAGUGGCUUUUGCUAGUGGGAAUGUCAACUCAAAAAACAAAAUGUAUGGUUGUUUUGGUCCAGUUGUACUGUGUAGAGAGAAAAGUCAGUCAACCAAUAAAGGCAUGCUGCAUUAUGAUGAACCCUUUAGGCCGCUCCUCAGGUAGAUGAUACUCACCUUGGAAUGCAGAUGUUCAUGUACUAUGAGCCUGCUCGUAUUGGACAAUUGUGAAAAAGUUGGAAGAACAUUCACACAGACCUCUAUGAUAUGAAUAAAACAGUGGAGCACACAUAUUUGCUCAAUUCAGAGAAUACAUAAUGAGUAUGAUUUGACAAUAUGUGGCAGUCACAGAUUUACCUAAGAGAACAAAGAUAGAUGACAUCAAAAUGUUCCAGAUAUGCUGGUGAUGUUGAGGACCUCAAUUUGUUUCAAUAAAUUGUCAGCCCACAGUGCAUAGUCAUUGGUUCAACAUCUGUCUCUGAAAGACACUCCCAAGUUAUUAACUCAAGCAAAUACGUUGUGAUCAAGAUCAAGAGAGAUUGCUAGAGGGAUCAGGUAGUUAGUGCUUGUAGUCAGUAUGUUUAGUAUUUUAUAAGCAUUUUAAUUGAUGUUUUCCCCAAUAUAUUAAAUUUAUAUAUCUAUCCAUUUUACUUAAAUUGUAUUACCCCAAUGCAAAACCAAAGGAGCAAAGUCAUCAAUGUAUCCCUUAUCUAAUCAUCUCUUUCUAGCUCUAACAUUAUUUUCGCACCUGUUUUUUUUUCCUCCUUAUUUUACACAUCUCCCAUUUCUAAUCAUUAUUCUGCGCUGUCCACCUGUUCUGUUUCUAUUAUUCCAUUGCCUUUUAUUUUCUAUUCCAUCUCUAUUAUAAAAAUCUCCACCACUAUGAUGAAAAUCAUUCUCUCUGGUCAAUGUCGGCAAUGUCUUGUGGGCCUGUGGAUUUUAAGGGUUAUGGUUCACUCUGGGAAUUUUACUUUCGACCACUUGGUAAGAUCAAAUAAACUAUUGGUGAGCUUUUCAUAUUGUCACUUUCAGUUCAUAUCUUUCAGUUUCCUGUUGUUUAACAGUACACCUCGAUCAAUAUUAACAUCAUUUACACUAUUAGCUAUGUCUUUAGUUAUGUUUUUCGCUCUUAAAUGCUAUAUAUAGUUGUCUGUCUAACUGUAGUUUCUAUGUAGUUAUUUAGUUAAAAUCUCCUUUUAUUUUUUUCCUGUGUAUGCUUGUUGUGUAGCUGCUCACUCAGUUUAGGAAAACUGCCGUCUCUCCCUUUUAUUUAGGAUGUCUUAGUUAUUUCGCUAAAUGACUUUUGUUGUCUAGCUGUUAACAUUCUUGGGCUUCGGCCUCUUUUCUUUUUUGCCUUCUUAAUGGGUUUUACAUCUUUUCUGGGCCUUGGUCUCUUUUUUUGGACUAUUUUUUUUUAAGGAAUUACUUUACUGUCUG